GACGAACGCUGGCGGCGUGCUUAACACAUGCAAGUCGAACGGAAAGGCCCUGCUUUUGUGGGGUGCUCGAGUGGCGAACGGGUGAGUAACACGUGAGUAACCUGCCCUUGACUUUGGGAUAACUUCAGGAAACUGGGGCUAAUACCGGAUAGGAGCUCCUGCUGCAUGGUGGGGGUUGGAAAGUUUCGGCGGUUGGGGAUGGACUGGCGGCUUAUCAGCUUGUUGGUGGGGUAGUGGCUUACCAAGGCUUUGACGGGUAGCCGGCCUGUGAGGGUGACCGGCCACAUUGGGACUGAGAUACGGCCCAGACUCCUACGGGAGGCAGCAGUGGGGAAUAUUGCACAAUGGGCGGAAGCCUGAUGCAGCAACGCCGCGUGCGGGAUGACGGCCUUCGGGUUGUAAACCGCUUUCGCCUGUGACGAAGCGGGAGUGACGGUAAUGGGUAAAGAAGCACCGGCUAACUACGUG
rnacentral:rRNA from 1 species